AGAGAGAAGAAAAAGGAAAUGGAUUUUCUGAUGAAAUCCCAGGAGAAAACUCUGAUGACAUUGGAAAAGAUUUCCCUCAUUUAUCCACUGUUGACUUGGAAGGAGCCUUUUCAAGUCAGAGGUCUAUGUCGGUGGGGACGACACUGGAGUAGGAAGGAUUUUGAUGGUGCAAAAUGAUGAGCGAGUCUCACGAUUCUAUGAGCGAUCAGUCUGUGGGCACCUGGAGAAUCCUUCCACGCCACCGCUUGUCUGUGAACCACACAGUGAGAACCACAUCUGUGGACACCCUUGAGUUUCCAUGUGUGAAAACAGAGGCUUUUCGUGGGAUUGGACAAUGGGAGUGUGGCCGCUAACAGCUUGACAUCAUGGUCUUUUAACAACUCUUGGGUUGUGAUAUCAUCAGUUGGCAUAAAUCUUACCACCCAGGGAAACAUGCCGCGCAUGAUAUGGCCCCUGGAGGACCGAGUGACUCACCAAACCUGGCGCUCCCUUGAGUGAGAGCCAAACACAGCACAGUCCCCUUGGACACCAUCUGCCACUGCGACCCAGUGCCAAUUGUGGGCCCCAAAUGGACGGGUCAGACCUUUAGCAUCAUUGGCUUACUUAGCUGGGAUCAGCCUCUUUUUACCACUCGUUGUCCUUUUCGCCCUUCCCAAUUAUUCCCUUUCAGGCAGUGGACACUCAGGAGGUCCCAGGAACCCGGUAUGGGUGGGCUGGUUCCUUCCCUGGUCUCUUUCCUGGCGAUUCCCCCUGAAUCGCUCUGCUGUAAGCGGUCAAAAGGCCAUAUGUGGGUGGGGAUAGAACCAGGGACACUCUACACAUCAACACAGGCAUGUCGCUACAGAGCCAGGCCUGUGAGCGGCUUUCUCCCAGAGGGAUAGACUACUUCUGCCCUCCCUACACACCCCAAAGCACAGGAUUUUUCAACAGGGGCCUCCAAAGACCUGGUAAUGACCUUGAUAGAUCAAACGGCUACGCUCCAGAUCAAGGACAGAAUAACAGUAGGCCAGGGACCCAGAUCCACCUGCAGAGUCUAGUUUGCCAGGAAUCACUGCGUGUCACUGUCCGCCUGGAGAGCCGAGGCCUACUUUCUAAAUGGCACGACGGACUGCAUUCGCAGCCUUUCUCGGGAACAGCAUCCCCCUGGCCUUGACCGCAAAACUGCCAGGAAUCCACGCUGGAGCUGUGUUUGAAUGAGAGCGCUUCAGUGGCCAAUGGGGGACAAUAGAAAGAAAGAUCAGAUGUCGCCAUCCUCGCAGUCGGAGCCUCCCCCAGAAGCCACCGACAUUUAUUUAGAAACUACCUGUGCUGUGGUUUGGGACCCGAAAUGGAAAAAGAUCAGUUCACAUUGCAAUCCGGCUGCUGUAGCACCAGAAGAAAAUUGUUCCAUUAAAGUCAAAGGCAAACCUCAGUUCAAAGGACAGAAAGGCCAGAGCCUUGAGCUGCGGGGCUUAGGGUCUCAGCCAGGAUGGCAUUUGAACAACACGGCUCCCCCUGUAACACUCAGUGCCUGCACCUCUAAACUCCCUUUCUCUCCCUCGCUUUCCCCUCGCAGUUACUUCGAAUCAUCCACCAGCAUUUUAACCCCAGCUACAGUCUAUUCUCAGACUGGCUUCACCCUCCUCUUCUAAGGAAGCUAUGCUCCCCCCUCCACCCAUCCUCAGACGUGGUCCCCAUCCUCUGAACCACGACCGCGUUGCAAAUCGGGACCCCCUCAUCCAACACCCAGGAGAAAAUCCCGGAGGACAGCUAUUUUGCUGCGCAUACAUGUCCCUGGAUUCCCCGGAGCAUGUUAGGAAUGCAGAAGCUUGGGCUCCACCCAGACUUGCUGAACGAGAAUUCGUAUCUUAAGCCGUGGGAGUGGAAUCCACAGGAAAUUCGAGAAGUCCACGCUCCAGGGUAAAGGCUGGGUGCGGGCCCUGAAUAGCUCACUGUCAAGUCGGUGAGCGACUCCUUAUCUCUCUGGCCCGUGCUUCAUCCUCUCUGGGCUGGCUACUGUUCGUGGUCACAGAAAGCAAACUACCGGGAACAUUCAUUAUUUGUCGCCCCAGACCCACGUAGUUCUCUACAAAACCAUCAAUAUUUUGAUAUGACUCAUAGGAUGGUCAAUCUGAAUUUCUGAAUCAAACAUAAACACUUGAUUUUCUGUUGUUUUAACAACUCUAGUACGUUGGGCAUUAUCCUCGGUUAAAUGCAAACUUUCUAUAUUUUUAAAAUUGAGGAUUAGAGGAUGUUAACCAUGAAAGGGAGCUUAGGGGUCGUUAAGAUCAACCUCUCACUUGACAGGUGAGGAAACUGAGUCAGGGUAGAUAGAGUCUUAGCCUUAGACAAGUUCAUGCAUGUCAGAGUGGCAGGAACCCACACCUUUGGGCUCCCGUGUUUGUGUUCUGAGGUAUAGCACACUGAUUCAUGCUGCCCUGGGCUGGUUAGCUGAUUGCACCAGGUGUCUGGCCCGGUAACUUGUCACCUCUAACCAAGGAGAGAGGACUGGAAGCUAAUGGAGCUUCUCCUGUUGUAUCCUUCCUCCUGAGCCCUGCUCCAAGCACCCUGGUGGGAGAGGAGAGUGAAUGAAAUGGGAGCCUUUGUGGUUUGUUCUCACUGUCAUAAUAAAAUGCUGCUUAAGGAGUCUGCAACCUAUCCCACCUACCAGGGACCUCAAGGGGGAGCAUUCUGAUUAGACAUCCAGAAACACAGAGAGGGCGCAUCACCCGCGGAUCACUCGAUUCUUUGUGCGAUAACCAGACUUCAAAUACGGCUUUGCCUCUCCAUCUUCUAUGUGUUUUCACAAUGCCGAAGGGCCACCAGGAGUAGAAACACUCGGGAAUCAAGCUCCCGGGCUCUGAUUAGUUAACUCAUUCACCUAACUGCGGGGCAGGAGGGUGCCCCUGGAGGGCAAGAGCUAUGGGGUCUUCCUGAAUGUCAUUGACCUUGGGCACAUGGAGUCCUCUACAUCUGCAGUUCCCCAGAAGCCAAUGUUACCUCAUCAUCACCAGCCCCACAUCCACCCACAGCAUUGGUCAGUGCCUCCUGGGCCAAGCCUGGGCUAGGUGUUUUGGGUCUGUUACUAACACCCACCACUAGCCUUUUUCACUGACAUGCAUCCUGAGGCCCAGGCUGUGUGAUCUUUAUCCCGGUGAGAUCAAGUUAGAAUAUGCAUUGGGGUGGAACAGAAAUCAUAAAGUAUGAAGCCUGAGGAUUAUGUGAAAGACAGAAAGGAGCAUCUCCAGGUUGACCUAGAG